rnacentral:tRNA from 1 species
GGAUGUGGCUCAAGCGGUGGCGCGCUCGCCUGGCAUGUGUGCGGCCUGGGUUCAAUUCUCAGGACCACAUACA